rnacentral:rRNA from 1 species
CGUGUGGUUCUAUUUUGUUGGUUUCUAGGACCGCCGUAAUGAUUAAUAGGGAUAGUCGGGGGCAUCAGUAUUCAAUCGUCAGAGGUGAAAUUCUUGGAUUGAUUGAAGACUAACUACUGCGAAAGCAUUUGCCAAGGAUGUUUUCAUUAAUCAGUGAACGAAAGUUAGGGGAUCGAAGACGAUCAGAUACCGUCGUAGUCUUAACCAUAAACUAUGCCGACUAGGAAUCGGGCGAUGUUGACAAAAUGACUCGCUCGGCACCUCAUGGGAAACCAAAGUGUUUGGGUUCCGGGGGGAGUAUGGUCGCAAGGCUGAAACUUAAAGGAAUUGACGGAAGGGCACCACCAGGGGUGGAGCCUGCGGCUUAAUUUGACUCAACACGG